GUUUGUUUACUUAUUUAUUUAUUUUUAAAUUGAGAUAUAACUAAGGUAUAACAUUAUAUCAGUUUAAGGUGUACAACAUAGUGAUUUGACGUUUGUACAUAUUGCUAAGUAAUCACCACAAUAAGUCUAGUUAACAUCCUUUAUCAUACAUAGUUACAAAUUCUUUUUUCUUGUGAUGAGAACGUUUAAAACCUACUCUCUUAGCAACUUUAAAAUAUGCAUUACAGUAUUAUUAACUAAAGUCACCAUGCUGUACAUUACAUCCCCAGGACUUAUUUAUUUUGUAACUGGAACUUUGUAACUUUUGAUGACCUUCACCUAUUCCCCCUGAAUUUGUAGUCCGCUUGACAGAAGUGUGGGCAGCCUGGGAACCCAUUGCCACUGGUGUCUGAAGCGGGAGCAGUCCUGUAGGACGGAGCCCUUAACCUGUGGGGUCUGAUGCUAACUCCAGGGUCAAUAAAGGACUUGGAAAUCCCAGUUCAAUUCCACAGGCAAUGUAGACAUCCAAGCACUCAAAAGGAAAGAAUGCCAAGAAAGAGGUAACUGUUCAGAGCACACCAGCAAUUGCUCAGCUCUCAUGAACAACUCUACCCCAAGAAAAUCAGUCAGGCAAGAAGAGGUUUAAGGAGACAGAUUUCAGCUUCACACUUCAGAAAGUUUGGCUUAAAAGUGACCCAUGCCAAUUCUGCUCACAAUCUAUUGGCCAGAGCUAGUCACGUGUCCUGCUAUAUUUAAAGAAGGCUGGGAAAUAGAGUGGCAAGUGAAAAUUUGGUUUGAGAGAGCAUCAUGGAAUUCCUUCCAAGGAUGCAAGAGGAAGAAGAAUCUCUUUCAAUUUCCAGUAGAAUUCAUUGCAGUGAGUUUAUGCCAACAAUUGAUCCCAGCACCUGUGUGCAGGACCUGCUGCUUUUGGAACCCAACUGCCAUGAUGUGAGAAGCCCAAGUCACAUGGAGAAGCUCUACCUAUACUCCCUGCCAACAGCCAACAUCAAUUGCUAGUCAUGGGAGUGAGCCAUCUUGGCCAUCCAGCCCAACUGAGGAUGACUGCAACUGCCUGAGAGAUCCCACACAACUCACAGAAAUGUUCAGUCAACUCACAGAAAUGCGAGAGACAAUAUUAAAUUUAAGUUUUC
rnacentral:lncRNA from 1 species